rnacentral:tRNA from 1 species
GGCCAGUUAGCUCAGUCACUUGAGUGUGACGCUAACAACGUCAAGGUCAUGGGUUCGAUUCCUGUUUGAUCC